rnacentral:rRNA from 1 species
CCAGACUCCUACGGGAGGCAGCAGUGGGGGAUAUUGCACAAUGGGGGAAACCCUGAUGCAGCGACGCCGCGUGGGUGAAGGAGCACCUCGGUGCGUAAAGCCCUAUCGGCAGGGAAGAAACAGACGGUACCUGACUAAGAAGCCCCGGCUAACUACGUGCCAGCAGCCGCGGUAAUACGUAGGGGGCUAGCGUUAUCCGGAAUUACUGGGCGUAAAGGGUGCGUAGGUGGUUUCUUAAGUCAGAGGUGAAAGGCUACGGCUCAACCGUAGUAAGCCUUUGAAACUGGGGAACUUGAGUGCAGGAGAGGAGAGUGGAAUUCCUAGUGUAGCGGUGAAAUGCGUAGAUAUUAGGAGGAACACCAGUUGCGAAGGCGGCUCUCUGGACUGUAACUGACACUGAGGCACGAAAGCGUGGGGAGCAAACAGGAUUAGAUACCCUCGUACUG